GAAAAUGCUGUAAAUGAUAGUAAUUAGAAAUUGUCUAUAAAAAUUAUAGAAAUUUAUAAAUAUUUAAUAGUAAUUGCUACAAUUUAGCAAUUAGGCACUGUGACAGCGAUCUAGUUCGAAAUCACGAGACCACCUCUAGAAUUUUGAGCUUGUAUCUAUAACUGUCAAUUGUUGUUAUUACUGACAGACUGUUCUGCCAUCUAUGAGUAUCUAUGAGUACGAGUAUCUGUAUCCGAGUGCGGAGUAUCUGUCGAAGUACCACUGUACCCGGACUCCAUUCGCUGAUUGUGUCGCGCUGACUUUAAUACUUUGCAACGUCGUCGAUCAUUUCGCUGGGAUGUGAGUGUGAGUGCGAGAUGGGGAAAAGGAG